rnacentral:rRNA from 1 species
AACGAACGCUGGCGGCGCGCCUAACACAUGCAAGUCGAACGCGAAAGUGUAGCAAUACAUGAGUAAAGUGGCGCACGGGUGAGUAACGCGUAGGUGAUCUACCUUUGUGAUCGGGAUAACCAGCCGAAAGGUUGGCUAAUACUGGAUAGAGCGCAUUUAUCGUAAAGAUGAGUGCGGGAAAUGAGGGCGUAGCAAUACGCUCUUGCACUAAGAUGAGCCUGCGUCUCAUUAGCUAGUUGGUAGGGUAAAGGCCUACCAAGGCAUUGAUGGGUAGCUGGUCUGAGAGGACGAUCAGCCACACUGGAACUGAAACACGGUCCAGACUCCUACGGGAGGCAGCAGUGGGGAAUCUUGCGCAAUGGACGAAAGUCUGACGCAGCGACGCCGCGUGAGUGAAGAAGGCCUCGGGUUGUAAAGACUCUGUCGAGUGGG